CCUACGGGUGGCAGCAGUGGGGAAUAUUGCACAAUGGGGGAAACCCUGAUGCAGCGACGCCGCGUGAGUGAAGAAGUAAUUCGUUAUGUAAAGCUCUAUCAGCAGGGAAGAAAAUGACGGUACCUGAGUAAGAAGCCACGGCUAACUACGUGCCAGCAGCCGCGGUAGUACGUAGGGGGCAAGCGUUAUCCGGAUUGACUGGGGGUAAAGGGAGCGUAGACGGCAGGGCAAGUCUGGAGUGAAAGGCGGGGGCUCAACCCCCGGACCGCUCUGGAAACUGUACGGCUGGAGUGCAGGAGAGGUAAGUGGAAUUCCGAGUGUAGCGGUGAAAUGCGUAGAGAUUA
rnacentral:rRNA from 1 species